rnacentral:rRNA from 1 species
AAGCAAUUAUAUGCGAAACUGCGAAUGGCUCAUUAAAUCAGUUAUCGUUUAUUUGAUGGUACCUUACUACAUGGAUAACUGUGGUAAUUCUAGAGCUAAUACAUGCUAAAAAUCUCGACUCACGAAGAGAUGUAUUUAUUAGAUAUCAAACCAAUACUCCUCGGAGUUUAUGGUGAUUCAUUAUAACUUCACGCAGCGCAUGGCUUUUAGCUGGCGCGAGAUCAUUCAAAUACCUGCCCUAUCAAGUUUCGAUGUGAGGGUAGUGUCCUCACAUGCUUUUGACGGGUAACGGGGAAUUAGGGUUCGACUCCGGAGAGGGAGCCUGAGAAACGGCUACCACAUCCAAGGAAGGCAGCAGGCGCGCAAAGUACCCAAUCCCGACACGGGGAGGUAGUGACAAGAAAUACCGAUACAGGUCUUUUUGGAUCUUGUGAUUGGAAUGAGUACAAUUUAAACCCAUUAACGAGGAACAACUAGAGGGCAAGUCUGGUGCCAGCAGCCGCGGUAAUUCCAGCUCUAGUAGCAUACAUUAAAGUUGUUGCAGUUAAAACGCCCGUAGUUGAAGUUUGGGCUUGGUUGGCCGGUCCGCCUCACCGCGAGUACUGGUGCGAUUGGGUCCUUCUUCCUGGAGAUCUGCACUGUCUUUAUUGAUGGUGUUAGGGAACCAGGGCUUUUACUUUGAAAAAAUUAGAGUGUUCAAAGCAGGCUUUUGCUCGAAUAUCUUAGCAUGGAAUAAUGGAAUAUGACGAGUGGUUGUAUUUCGUUGGUUUUCACGACCACCGUAAUGAUUAAUAGGGAUGGUCGGGGGCAUCGGUAUUCAUUCGUCAGAGGUGAAAUUCUUGGAUUGAAUGAAGACCAACCGCUGCGAAAGCAUUUGCCAUGGAUGUUUUCAUUAAUCAAGGACGAAAGUUAGGUGAGCGAAAACGAUCAGAUACCGUUGUAGUCUUAACUGUAAACAAUGCCGACUAGGGAUCGGGUGGUGUCUUCUUAAUGACUCGCUCGGCACCUUGUGAGAAAUCANAGUUUUGGGUUCU